GUGGCAGAACACAAAUUUUGAUUGCUCAGAUGAUCGGCAAUGGAUCUAGGAACUUCAUAUAACUAUUGUUGUGUUUCUCUUAGAAAACUAUGGAUUUUGUUUUCUAGAAAAACUUGUUCGAAAUGUGCAAAAGUAACACCAGGGAUGUGAGAGCUAAUAGCAGCAAGGCCACAUUGGGACAAUAUUUUGGAUAAUAUUAAGCAUAAUCCGUCCCAAUAUUUUGAUUUCUUCAUCAAGUAUAGAUGCAAAUAGAAAAUUUAGGCGCAAUAAAAUUUACUCAAAAUCAUCAAACAUCCUUCCUCACAUUGGGACGGAUUAUGCUUAAUAGUAUGGACAUAUAACAAAACUAAUCUACCCCUUUAAAAUACACACACGCAAAAGAAAAAUAAAAUAAAAAAAACUAAUUCAGCAAUACCUGGUUAUGUUGCUGUCUCGGCGGAAGAAGGAGGCGGCAAUUCUCUACGAAGCUCCUUAACUACGGCGGCCAAAGAUUCUGGGUUGAUACCCAUUUCACAGAGAG
rnacentral:lncRNA from 1 species